AUUAUAUUAAGAUUAAAAUUAUUACUAUACACAAAUUAAAAACAUUUAUAAGUUGAGUAAAGGUGAUUGAAAUUUUAUUUAUAUUAAUCUAUAAGUACUGAAAAGGAAUAUAUUAAAUUAAAAAAAAGCAAUUUUUUAUAAUGUACCUUUUGCAUCAUGGUUUAGCUAGAGAAUAUUUUUAAUAAAAUUUCUCGAAAUUCGAUGAGCUAUUUUAGGUUUUGUUUUAGCAAUAAUAAGUAAAUGUGGCAAAAUUUUUUCAAAAACUUAAAAUAGAAAUUAGAUUUUAUUCGUAUCGAAUGAUAGCUAGUUUUCUUAUAAAAGCAUAGAAGUGCGUGAUUCAAUUAUAUUUAAUUCAUAAUUUAUUAUGAUUUAAUGUUUUAAAUCAUCAGACUUUUAAGGAUAAGCUUGAAAGUUAAAAUACUAAAUUAUAUUUAUUUUAAUUUAAAAUUUAAGCUUGAAAUUAGCUAUAAUUUAAAAUUUGUUAUAAAUCAUUUAGAUAGUCUAAUAAAAUAAAUUUAUUUGUUUUUAUAGGAAGGAUUUUUUAAACUUUUAAAAAAUAUCUUCAUGCUAAAAUGAGUAUUAUAUAAACUAUAUUUUAAUAAAAUUAAAAUUAAAACAUAAAAUUCUUAUUAUAAAUAAAUUUUAAGAAGGAACUCGGCAAAAUUUGCUUUGCCUGUCUAUCAAAAACAUGGCUCUUUGAAAUUAAUGUAUAAAGAGUCGAGCCUGCCCAGUGAUAAAAUUUAAACGGCCGCGGUACUCUGACCGUGCGAAGGUAGCAUAAUCAUUUGCCCUAUAAUUGAGGGCUUGUAUGAAUGGUUUGACAAGAGCAUAACUGUCUCCUUAAAAUUUUAUAAAAUUUGGUUUUUAGGUGAAGAAACCUAAAUGAAAUUGAAAGACAAGAAGACCCUAUCGAGCUUUAGAUUAAUUAAUUAGAAAAUAUAAUUAAAAUAAUUAAUUUUAAUUAAAAACUUUGGUUGGGGCGACUGAGGAACAUAUAAAGCUUCCUUAAUCAAAAUUAACUAAUAAGUAAUGAUCCAAAAAUUUUGAUUAAUAAAAUUAGUUACCGUAGGGAUAACAGCAUAAUCUUUUUUGAGAGUUCUUAUCGAAAAAAAGGUUUGUGACCUCGAUGUUGGACUAGGAUAUCCUAAAAGAUGCAGAAGUCUUUAAAGGUUGGUCUGUUCGAUCAUUAAAAUCCUACAUGAUCUGAGUUCAGACCGGCGUGAGCCAGGUCAGUUUCUAUCUUCAAUUAAAUAUUUUAAAUUUAGUACGAAAGGACCAAUUUAAAACAAUUAUUGUUUACCUAGAUUAAUUAUAAUGUAUACAUUUAAGUUUUUAUAAU
rnacentral:rRNA from 1 species